UGUCUCAAAGAUUAAGCCAUGCAUGUCUAAGAAUAAACCGAAUAUGGUAAAUCCGCGAAUGGCUCAUUACAACAGCCUUAGUUUGUUGGAUCUAAAUCCACAGCAAUAACUGUGGAAAAGCCAGAGCUAACUCUGCAUUCAAGUCCCGACUUCGGAAGGGACGCAUUUGUUAGAACAAGACCAAUUGGCUUCGGCCAUCUAUUGGUGAAUCUGAGCAACUUAGCAGAUCGCAUGGGCUCGUCCCGGCGACAUAUCCUUCAAGUGUCUGCCUUAUCAACUGUCGAUGGUAGUUUAUUGGACUACCAUGGUUGUAACGGGUAACGGAGAAUUAGGGUUCGACUCCGGAGAGGGAGCCUGAGAUACGGCUACCACAUCCAAGGAAGGCAGCAGGCGCGCAAAUUACCCACUCUCAGUUCGAGGAGGUAGUGACGAAAAAUAACGAGACAGUCUUCUAUGAGGUCUGUCAUCGGAAUGGGUACAAUUUAAACCCUUUAACGAGGAUCUAUUGGAGGGCAAGUCUGGUGCCAGCAGCCGCGGUAAUUCCAGCUCCAAUAGCGUAUAUUAAAGUUGUUGCGGUUAAAAAGCUCGUAGUUGGAUCUGCGACCAUCAAGACCGGUAGCCCAUUGGGUUUCACUGGUGCUUGUGGUCUCCUUGCUGGUCUUUCCUUGGUGCUCUUAACUGAGUGCCUUGGUUGGCUAGUGCUUUUACUUUGAAAAAAUUAGAGUGCUCAAAGCAGGCGUUUGCCUGAAUAGUGGUGCAUGGAAUAAUGGAAUAGGACCUCGGUUCUAUUUUGUUGGUUUUCGGAGCUCGAGGUAAUGAUUAAGAGGGACAGACGGGGGCAUUCGUACUGCUACGUUAGAGGUGAAAUUCUUGGAUCGUAGCAUGACGAACAACUGCGAAAGCAUUUGCCAAGAAUGUUUUCAUUAAUCAAGAACGAUAGUUAGAGGUUCGAAGGCGAUCAGAUACCGCCCUAGUUCUAACCGUAAACGAUGCCAACUAGCAAUCCGCUGGCGUUAAUUUUGACUCAGCGGGCGGCUGCCCGGAAACGAUAAGUUUUUCGGUUCCGGGGGAAGUAUGGUUGCAAAUCCGAAACUUAAAGGAAUUGACGGAAGGGCACCACCAGGAGUGGAGCCUGCGGCUUAAUUUGACUCAACACGGGAAAACUCACCCGGCCCGGACACUGUAAGGAUUGACAGAUUGAAAGCUCUUUCACGAUUCAGUGGGUGGUGGUGCAUGGCCGUUCUUAGUUGGUGGAGCGAUUUGUCUGGUUAAUUCCGAUAACGAACGAGACUCUAGCCUACUAAAUAGUGCGUGGAUCAAUAAGUCCUCGCUACUUCUUAGAGGGACAGACGGCGUCUAGCCGUACGAAAUUGAGCAAUAACAGGUCUGUGAUGCCC
rnacentral:rRNA from 2 species